CGACAUGAUGCGAGUACCAAGAUGGCGUCGUGAUGGAUGCUUAAAAACAAACGUGCUGCGAGUAGCAAGAUGGCGCUGUUGUCGCUGACCAGGAAGCGGCGAUGUCUCACGGGCACAGUCACGGUGGCGGGGGUUGCGGCUGUGGCGCAGAGCGGGCUGAUGAGCCGGAGCGCGGCCUGGAGUACGGACUUUACCGAAAGAUUGACUUGCAUAAGCUGCAGUGCCUGAACGAGAGCCGGGAGGGCAGCGGAAAGCUGGUGUUCAAGGCCUGGGAAGAACGCGCUGACCGGAGCAGGUUUGUAGAAAGUGAUGAUGAUGAGGAAUUACUAUUUAAUAUUCCGUUCACUGGCAAUGUUAAGCUAAAAGGGAUUAUCCUUAUUGGAGAGGACAGUGAUGCACACCCUUCAGAGAUGAGAUUGUUUAAGAACAUUCCUCACAUGGACUUUGAUGAUGUUGGAAGGGAACCAGAUCAGGUUUUCAGUCUAAACAUUGACACCACUGGAGAAUUGGAGUAUCCUACAAAAAUAUCUCGCUUUUCAAACGUGUCACAUCUCUCUCUCCAUAUCUCCAAGAAUUUUGGAGCAGAGAACAGCAGGAUUUAUUAUAUCGGUUUAAGGGGAGAGUGGACAGAGGGAUCCAUCCCCAUGACCACGGACGUUCAGUGCCUGCGUGCACCCUCCCCGCGGCCGCGUCGCCCGGCUACGGAAUGACGUCACUCUGGAGGGGCGGAUGUAGCCAGAUCCGGAAGUGCGGGCUCCGUGGACCGGGACGCCGCUGGCCGUGUUGGAGAUUGAUGAGCCAGGGGAUGGCUCGUCGACAUGAAGUGACCAUCUGUAACUAUGAAUCUGCAGCAAAUCCAGCUGACCACAAAGUGAAACAGAUCACCCCUCAGUCCCACUUUAUCUCUUAGAGCCACAGCAAUCUCUCCUGGCUGAGCGCAACCAGUUGCUCAUUCACAGCUGCUAUUAAAUGUUCUUCUUUUUCUUUGUAAA